UCCCUGCCGUUCAAUCUGGGUUAAAAUGUCUAGAUAUUUUCUCUCGCUCUCGCUCUCUGCCCCGACAGAUGUACGUCUUAUGAGAAACAAUCUUGAGAGGGUUCAAGAACGAUCCAGAGAGCCGGGGUCUUUCUCUUUGAUCUGUGCGUGACCUACCUAACAUAACAAUCCAGAGAGAUCAAUUAUCAAGAACGAUUGAGAGAGAGAGAGAGAAAUAGGGUGUGUUUCUGUGAUGGAGAUCUUGAAAUUCACUGCUCCAAGGAGGGCUGAUGAGACAGAAAAUGAAGGGUGGUGAUGUUGCUGAGCCCUUAAGCUCUUUAAAUCACUGGGUAAUUGAGGUUAGUCAAAGACAGACAAAGCACAACAUUUUUGGACAUCACGAUCUUCUUCAUUAUCAAAGGGAUUUCAAUAAACAGGAACAUUAGGUGGCAGUACUGCUUUGGACUCUAAUUUUGGAUUGUUGUUUUUUGUUUCCUUUGAUGCAGUUGUCCUUCUCUUGAGGAACAACGUUGACAAAAGGGAGGCAUUAGAUAACCUGGAUAUCAUACUUUUUCCUUUAUUUGAAGGCUUGAGAAAAGAGUGAACGAGGUCGAGCAGUAUUACUUGAGGAAAGGCAGUCUGCAACCAACCACUUCGAAGGAGAAAGACAGAGAUAAACAUUUUAAUACAAUUAAGAAGCAGCAGCAAGAUGCAUCACGUAGGGAAGCCGCUGCUGCAAAGAGGAUGCGAGAUCUGUUAAGUUUUCCGCAAUCUUCAAACAGGAAAUUGAAGCAAAUGAGAAGCAUUGAUAUCAACUCCAACUUGAGGAGGCUAUUAGUAACAUAGGUGCAUUUUCUCCCCCAGUAUUUGGUGGUUGUUACUUUGCAUUUCUUUUCCUUUUUGUACUCAUCAAUUGUUCUAUAGCUGGACUAGAACUUUCUGUUUUUGUCAAACUAUCAGUCUAUUGCGUGUAAAAUUCAUGAAAAAAGAACCAAACCCUUCCGCAGU